UACGGAGGGUGCGAGCGUUGUCCGGAAUCACUGGGCGUAAAGGGCGCGUAGGUGGCUUGGCAAGCGUGUGGUGAAAGCCCGGAGCUCAACUCCGGGUCUGCCGUGCCGACUGUCAAACUCGAGGGCUGUAGAGGCAGACGGAAUUCCGGGUGUAGCGGUGGAAUGCGUAGAGAUCCGGAGGAAGACCGGUGGCGAAGGCGGUCUGCUGGGCAGUUUCUGACACUGAGGUGCGAAAGCGUGGGGAGCAAACAGG
rnacentral:rRNA from 1 species